rnacentral:rRNA from 1 species
GACGAACGCUGGCGGCGUGCUUAACACAUGCAAGUCGAACGGAAAGGCCCUGCUUUUGUGGGGUGCUCGAGUGGCGAACGGGUGAGUAACACGUGAGUAACCUGCCCUUGACUUUGGGAUAACUUCAGGAAACUGGGGCUAAUACCGGAUAGGAGCUCCUGCUGCAUGGUGGGGGUUGGAAAGUUUCGGCGGUUGGGGAUGGACUCGCGGCUUAUCAGCUUGUUGGUGGGGUAGUGGCUUACCAAGGCUUUGACGGGUAGCCGGCCUGAGAGGGUGACCGGCCACAUUGGGACUGAGAUACGGCCCAGACUCCUACGGGAGGCAGCAGUGGGGAAUAUUGCACAAUGGGCGGAAGCCUGAUGCAGCAACGCCGCGUGCGGGAUAACGGCCUUCGGGUUGUAAACCGCUUUCGCCUGUGACGAAGCGUGAGUGACGGUAAUUGGUAAAGAAGCACCGGCUAACUACGUG